AUGCAGUCGAGCGCGGGAUGCAUGCUGAUCCUCUUCGGAGGUGACGCUUGUGGAACGAGCGGCGGACGGGUGAGUAACACGUGGGCAACCUGCCUGUAAGACUGGGAUAACCCCGGGAAACCGGGGCUAAUACCGGAUAAUACUUUUCAUCACCUGAUGGGAAGUUGAAAGGUGGCUUUUAGCUACCACUUACAGAUGGGCCCGCGGCGCAUUAGCUAGUUGGUGAGGUAACGGCUCACCAAGGCAACGAUGCGUAGCCGACCUGAGAGGGUGAUCGGCCACACUGGGACUGAGACACGGCCCAGACUCCUACGGGAGGCAGCAGUAGGGAAUCUUCCGCAAUGGACGAAAGUCUGACGGAGCAACGCCGCGUGAGUGAUGAAGGUUUUCGGAUCGUAAAGCUCUGUUGUUAGGGAAGAACAAGUGCCGUUCGAAUAGGGCGGCACCUUGACGGUACCUAACCAGAAAGCCCCGGCUAACUACGUGCCAGCAGCCGCGGUAAUACGUAGGGGGCAAGCGUUGUCCGGAAUUAUUGGGCGUAAAGCGCGCGCAGGCGGUCCUUUAAGUCUGAUGUGAAAGCCCACGGCUCAACCGUGGAGGGUCAUUGGAAACUGGAGGACUUGAGUACAGAAGAGGAGAGUGGAAUUCCACGUGUAGCGGUGAAAUGCGUAGAGAUGUGGAGGAACACCAGUGGCGAAGGCGACUCUCUGGUCUGUAACUGACGCUGAGGCGCGAAAGCGUGGGGAGCGAACAGGAUUAGAUACCCUGGUAGUCCACGCCGUAAACGAUGA
rnacentral:rRNA from 1 species